rnacentral:rRNA from 1 species
AGCGAACGCUGGCGGCAGGCCUAACACAUGCAAGUCGAGCGAACCGCAAGGUUAGCGGCGGACGGGUUAGUAGCGCGUGGGAACGUGCCCAAAGGUACGGAAUAGCCUCGGGAAACUGAGAGUAAUACCGUAUGUGCCCGAAAGGGGAAAGAUUUAUCGCCUUUGGAUCGGCCCGCGUUGGAUUAGGUAGUUGGUGGGGUAACGGCCUACCAAGCCGACGAUCCAUAGCUGGUUUGAGAGGAUGAUCAGCAACACUGGGACUGAGACACGGCCCAGACUCCUACGGGAGGCAGCAGUGGGGAAUCUUAGACAAUGGGGGAAACCCUGAUCUAGCCAUGCCGCGUGAGCGAUGAAGGCCUUAGGGUUGUAAAGCUCUUUCACCGGGGAAGAUAAUGACGGUACCCGGAGAAGAAGCCCCGGCUAACUCCGUGCCAGCCGCCGCCGUAACAC